CCUACGGGUGGCAGCAGUGAGGAAUAUUGGACAAUGGGCUUAACCCUGAACCAGCCAAGUCGCGUGAGUGAAGACUUCUCUCUGUAUUGUAAACUCUAUCUGCCGGGAAGCAAAUGCCGGUACCUGAUUCCGGAGCCCCGGCUCACUACGUGCCAGCAUCCGCUGUAAUACGUAGGGCGCCCGCGUUAUCCGGAUUUACUGGGUGUAAAGGGGGCGUAGACGGCAGGACAAGUCUGGGGUGAAAUGGCGGGCUUAACCCUGGAUCUGCCGUUGAAACUGUGCAGCUAGAGUGCAGGAGAGGUAAGCGGAAUGCCUGGUGUAGCGGUGAAAUGCGUAGAUAUUAGGAAGAACACCAGUGGCGAAGGCAGCUUACCGGAGUGUAACUGACGUUGAGGCUCGAAAGCGUGGGGAGCAAACAGGAUUAGAUACCCGAGUAGUC
rnacentral:rRNA from 1 species